rnacentral:rRNA from 1 species
CAAGGCUUGGCAUGCAUCUCUAAGCGCGUGAAAGCGCGUGACCCUUCGGGGGAUUUGCACAGGUGCUGCAUGGCCGUCGUCAGCUCGUGUCGUGAGAUGUUGGGUUAAGUCCCGCAACGAGCGCAACCCUUGUGAACAGUUGCCAGCGGGUAAUGCCGGGAACUCUGUUCAGACUGCCCAGAUCAACUGGGAGGAAGGUGGGGACGACGUCAGGUCAGUAUGGCCCUUACGCCUUGGGCUGCACACGUACUACAAUGCCCAGUACAAUGAGAACCGAUGCCGCGAGGCGGAGGAAAUCUGCAAAACUGGGCCCAGUUCGGAUUGGAGGCUGCAACUCGCCUCCAUGAAGUUGGAAUCGCUAGUAAUGGCGCAUCAUCUACGGCGCCGUGAAUACGUUCCC